GACGAACGCUGGCGGCGUGCCUAAUACAUGCAAGUCGAACGCAGUGGGGACGGUUUAGUAACACGUGGGUAACCUCCCAUCAAAGGGUUAACACUUGGAAACAGGUGCUAAACCGCUCCUGAUGGUAGGACCCGCGUUGCAUUAGCUAGUUGGUGAGGUAACGGCUCACAAAGGCCACGAUGCAUAGCCGACCUGAGAGGGUGAUCGGCCACACUGGGACUGAGACACGGCCCAGACUCCUACGGGAGGCAGCAGUAGGGAAUCUUCGGCAAUGGACGAAAGUCUGACAGAGCAACGCCGCGUGAAUGAAGAAGGUUUUCGGAUCGUAAAGCACUGUGGUUAGGGAGGCGGUAUCUAAACAGAAAGCCACGGCUAACUACGUGCCAGCAGCCGCGGUAAUUC
rnacentral:rRNA from 1 species